rnacentral:rRNA from 1 species
UGAGUAACCUGCCCUUCACUCUGGGAUAACUCCGGGAAACCGGGGCUAAUACUGGAUAUGACUCGAACAGGCAUCUGUUUCGGGUGGAAAGAUUUUAUUGGUGGAGGAUGGACUCGCGGCCUAUCAGCUUGUUGGUGAGGUAAUGGCUCACCAAGGCGACGACGGGUAGCCGGCCUGAGAGGGCGAUCGGCCACACUGGGACUGAGACACGGCCAGACCUCCGUACGGGAGCA